rnacentral:rRNA from 1 species
UGUAGGUUAAGUUGCUAAGGGCACACGGUGGAUGCCUAGGCACAAGAAGGCGAUGAAGGACGUGAUAAGCUGCGAAAAUCUACGGCGAGGUGCACACAACCUUAGACCCGUAGGUGUCCGAAUGGGGCAACCCAACCCUGGUAAUGCGGGGUUAUCCUAUUAAUAGGAGGCGAACGAAGGGAAGUGAAACAUCUAAGUACCUUCAGGAAGAGAAAACGAAGUGAUUUCCUUAGUAGCGGCGAGCGAAGCGGAAAGAGCCUAAACCUUGGUGUAUUUAAGAGCCUGUAAGCGUUGUACACCUGGUGUAGUGGGGUUCAUACUCUAAGAUGUUACAGCAUCUGGGUGAAGUCAAAAAUCUACAAGAUAGUCAAAGUGUCUGGAAAGUCACACCGUAGAGGGUGAUAGUCCCGUAGGCGAAAUUUUGUAGACUUCAUGGUAUGGAAACCCGAGUACCACGGGACACGAGAAAUCUUGUGGGAAUCAGCCCGGACCAUCGGGUAAGGCUAAAUACUCUCUUGUGACCGAUAGUGAAUUAGUACCGUGAGGGAAAGGUGAAAAGCACCCCGGGAGGGGAGUUAAAAGUACCUGAAACCGUGUGCCUACAAUCAGUUGGAGUCUCGGCAUGUCCGGGAUGACAGCGUGCCUUUUGCAUAAUGAGCCAGCGAGUUGCUCGUACGUAGCAAGGCUAAGUCUUUCAGAGAUGUAACCGUAGCGAAAGCGAGUCUGAACAGGGCGAAUUAGUUACGUGCGGCAGACGUGAAGCCAGGUGAUCUACCCAUGUCCAGGAUGAAGCGGCAGUAAGAUGUCGUGGAGGUCCGAACCAGGAGAUGUUGAAAAAUCUUUGGAUGAGAUGUGGGUAGGGGUGAAAGGCCAAUCAAACCUGGAGAUAGCUCGUUCUCCCCGAAAUAGCUUUAGGGCUAGCCUCGAUUGAAAGUGUCACGGAGGUAGAGCACUAAUAGGGUUAGGGCCCUCACCAGGGUACCGCCCCCUGUUAAACUCCGAAUGCCGUAGACAUGUUUAUCGGGAGUCAGCGUGUGUGGGAUAAGCUUCAUACGCGAGAGGGAAACAACCCAGACCGUCGGCUAAGGUCCCCAAGUUACAGUUAAGUGAUAAAGGAUGUUGAAGUGCUUAGACAACCAGGAUGUUGGCUUAGAAGCAGCCACCAUUUAAAGAGUGCGUAAUAGCUCACUGGUCAAGCGCUUUGGCGCCGAUAAUUCUCGGGACUAAACUGUACACCGAAGCUGCGGAUUUGAACUUUUGGUUCAAGUGGUAGGGGAGCAUUCCAUUAACCGUUGAAGGUGCAUUGUGAAGUGUGCUGGAGGAGAUGGAAAAGAGGAUGCUGGCAUUAGUAGCGAUAAAACAGGUGAGAAACCUGUUCGCCGAAAAUCUAAGGUUUCCUGAGUAAAGUUAAUCUGCUCAGGGUUAGUCGGCCCCUAAGCCGAGGCCGAAAGGCGUAGGUGAUGGGAAACGGGUUUAAUAUUCCCGUACCAGCUUUAAUUUGUUUGAGCGAUGGGGUGACGCAGGAGUGAAAGGUCAGCCACCUGACGGAUGGUGGUUUAAGCAUGUAGGAAUGGUGUGUAGGCAAAUCCGCACACCUUUAUUCUGAGGUGCGAAUAGGAGUCCCUAGGACAUAAACUGACCCUAACCAUACUGCCGAGAAAACCCUCUAAGUGAGAUUUAAAGCUGACCGUACCGUAAACCGACACAGGUAGAUGGGGAGAGAAUCCUAAGGCGCUCGAGUGAGUCCUGGUUAAGGAACUCGGCAAAAUGACUCCGUAACUUCGGGAGAAGGAGUGCCCAGGCCGGUUAAGAGAUUUACUCUCUGAAGCUGGCUCGGGCCGCAGUGACCAGACCCAAGCGACUGUUUACUAAAAACACAUGUCUCUGCUAAGUCGUAAGACGAUGUAUAGGGACUGACACCUGCCCGGUGCCGGAAGGUUAAGGGGAUAUGUAAUUUUCUUCGGAAAAGAAGCAUUGAACUGAAGCCCCGGUAAACGGCGGCCGUAACUAUAACGGUCCUAAGGUAGCGAAAUUCCUUGUCGGGUAAGUUCCGACCUGCACGAAUGGUGUAACGAUUUGGGUACUGUCUCAACCAGGAGCUCGGCGAAGUUGUGAUGCCGGUGAAGACGCCGGCUUCCCGCAACGGGACGGAAAGACCCCGUGAACCUUUACUACAGCUUGAUAUUGUAUUUUAGCUAAGCAUGUGUAGGAUAGGUGGGAGACUACGAAAUGCCAGCGCUAGUUGGUGUGGAGUCGUCCUUGAAAUACCACCCUUGCUUAGUUGGACUACUAACCUGCCCGUCUGAAUCGGCGGGAGGGACAGUGUCUGGUGGGUAGUUUGACUGGGGCGGUCGCCUCCUAAAGUGUAACGGAGGCUUCCAAAGGUUCCCUCAGCACGGUUGGUAAUCGUGCGUAGAGUAUAAAGGCAUAAGGGAGCUUAACUGCGAGACAUACACGUCGAGCAGAUGCGAAAGCAGGGCUUAGUGAUCCGGCGGUAGUGAAUGGAAAUGCCGUCGCUCAAAGGAUAAAAGGUACUCCGGGGAUAACAGGCUUAUCACCCCCAAGAGUUCAUAUCGACGGGGUGGUUUGGCACCUCGAUGUCGGCUCAUCGCAUCCUGGGGCUGGAGAAGGUCCCAAGGGUUUGGCUGUUCGCCAAUUAAAGCGGUACGUGAGCUGGGUUUAGAACGUCGUGAGACAGUUCGGUCCCUAUCUGUUGCGGGCGUAGGAUAUUUGAGGGGAUCUGCUCUUAGUACGAGAGGACCGGAGUGGACAAACCUCUAGUGUACCAGUUGUCUCGCCAGGGGCAUUGCUGGGUAGCUAUGUUUGGUGUGGAUAAGCACUGAAAGCAUCUAAGUGCGAAGCCCAACCCAAGAUGAGAUAUCCCUGUCCGAUUUAUCGGACCUAAAGGCGCCUUCGAGAUUAGGAGGUUGAUAGGCUGUAGGUCGAAGUGCAGUAAUGUAUGAAGCCGAGCAGUACUAAUAAGCCGUGAGGCUUAACCUUUUUUAUUU